rnacentral:rRNA from 1 species
GGUACGGCGGGUAACGGCCACCGUGGCUUCGACGGGUAGCCGGCCUGAGAGGGCGACCGGCCACAUUGGGACUGAGAUACGGCCCAGACUCCUACGGGAGGCAGCAGUGGGGAAUAUUGCACAAUGGGCGUCAAGCCUGAUGCAGCGACGCCGCGUGAGGGAUGGAGGUCCUUCGGGUUGUAAACCUCUUUUAUCGGGGAGCAAGCGAGAGUGAGUUUACCCGUUGAAUAAGCACCGGCUAACUACGUGCCAGCAGCCGCGGUAAUACGUAGGGUGCAAGCGUUAUCCGGAAUUAUUGGGCGUAAAGGGGCUCGUAGGCGGUUCGUCGCGUCCGGUGUGAAAGUCCAUCGCUUAACGGUGGAUCCGCGCCGGGUACGGGCGGGCUUGAGUGCGGUAGGGGAGACUGGAAUUCCCGGUGUAACGGUGGAAUGUGUAGAUAUCGGGAAGAACACCAAUGGCGAAGGCAGGUCUCUGGGCCGUUACUGACGCUAGAGGAGCGAAAGCGUGGGGAGCGAACAGGAUUAGAUACCCUGGUAGUCCACGCCGUAAACGGUGGAUGC